ACAGAGGGUGCAAGCGUUGUUCGGAAUGACUGGGCGUAAAGGGCGCGUAGGUGGUCAAGCAUGUCCGUUGUGAAAACAACAUCGCUUAACGAGUUGUCCGCAUCGGAAACUGCUUGACUUGAGUAUAGAAGAGGAGAACGGAAUUCCUGGUGUAGCGGUGGAAUGUGUAGAUAUCAGGAGGAACACCGGUGGCGAAGGCGGUUCUCUGGUCUAAUACUGACGCUGAGGCGCGAAAGCUAGGGGAGCAAACGGGA
rnacentral:rRNA from 1 species